rnacentral:lncRNA from 1 species
UUAUUCCUCAAAUUACUAACCGCAUUAUAGCGGGUGAGCACUGAGUGAAGCCGCACUAAGCAAGAUAUUCCUCUUAGGAAGAGUUAUGUUUUUCCCGUGUAUCAUUUUGUUGAUUGCUUUCAACUUUUUCCCAACUGAAGAAAAUCUAAUCAGAAAAAUACAAGCCUGUGAUUAUACCUUAUACAGAAAGCUGAAAUUCGCAUGCACUCAACAAAUGGAAAAAUGGAAUCUUUCAGAUUAUCGGCGUUAUCAUACAGGAUUCUUUGAUAAAGGUAGAGGACCUAAACUGGUAGAAAUGUGUUGCAAAAACACAUGCUACGAUUCUGUAUUAUCUGAAUAUGAUAACUGUAAACUUCUCGACCCUAACAUUUAAAUAUGUUACCAUACCAAUGCUACCGACAUUUAAAAAAAUGCAAAAUGCUUUCUUUUCUCUUUUGACUAUUCUGUCUGCAAUGAACUGCAGCAAUAAUAUUGUAUUAAAAAAAUAAACUUGUCCGUU